rnacentral:piRNA from 1 species
UCUAAGCGUGGGAUGGACACCUAGGUCAC